GGUGCUUGUACUGCCUUCCAAAGUGAAGAGGAGAUGAACAUGGCUUUGCAUAGCUGUUGUUCUAUGCCAACUUACCUACUCUUGCUGGUACCGUAGUGGCAUAUUGCAAAUUUCGUGGACGAACAACUCUAGUCACUAGUGGCUAGUGAGCAACACUAACAGAGCCUUGACGUUGCUGGACGAGCGACAAUAUAAAUUACAUAAACAUGUAGCUCGUGAUGUGGGAUGACUGCCGUAUCGCAUUGCCAACGCAAACCCAUCCUGUGUCAGUGCAGCCAUCCAGCAACUUGAACUCCCCGGACCAGAUGCCGCUGCAGCUGAACACCAUGCCGAUGGAAAGCCAGGAGUUGAUAGCGAAGCAUUCUGGUCUGCACAGUACAAGGCAAAGAAAAAUUAUGAAUUAUAAUGCAUUGUAAUCUUUCCCACACUUCUUUGUAAAAACAAACAAACAGUGCCAUUAUCACAACACUUGAUCAAGCAUCUUGAUGGAGGUAUUUUCCAUUGUGCUGGCUCAGCAUCUGCACCAGGAAGACCAUGUACACUUA